rnacentral:rRNA from 1 species
UACAGAGGUCUCAAGCGUUGUUCGGAUUCAUUGGGCGUAAAGGGUGCGCAGGCGGCGUCGCAAGUCAGGCGUGAAAUCCCCGGGCUUAACCUGGGAACUGCACUUGAAACUACGAUGCUGGAGUAUGGCAGAGGGAGGUGGAAUUCCACGUGUAGCGGUGAAAUGCGUAGAGAUGUGGAGGAACACCGAUGGCGAAGGCAGCCUCCUGGGCCAAUACUGACGCUCAUGCACGAAAGCGUGGGGAGCAAACAGG